ensembl:snRNA U6 U6 spliceosomal RNA
GUGCUCACUUUAACAGCACAUACACUAAAAUUGCAACACUACAGAAGAUUAGCAUGGCCCCUGCACAAGGAUGACAUGCAAAUUCAUGAAGCAUUCCAUAUUUUA